rnacentral:rRNA from 1 species
UACGUAGGGGGCGAGCGUUGUCCGGAUUUAUUGGGCGUAAAGAGCGUGUAGGCGGUUCGGUAAGUCUGUCGUGAAAUCCUGAGGCUCAACCUCGGGCGUGCGAUGGAUACUGCCGGGCUAGAGGGUGGUAGAGGCGAGUGGAAUUCCCGGUGUAGCGGUGAAAUUCGUAGAUAUCGGGAGGAACACCGGUGGCGAAGGCGGCGACCUGGGUAGAUACUGACGCUGAGGCGCGAAAGCGUGGGGAGCAAACAGG